AGGGUCGGAUAUGAAAUAACAAAUAAAAGAUAGUUUAUUCAAUAUGAAUAAUGUUAUAAACUAUUACAUCGCCAAGUUUUGUAAAAGAAGCUUGGUUAGAGUACAGGCAUUGUAUUUACACGCUAUUUUGAGUGCCAUGUUUGUAUUUAUGACAUUUAUGAAUCAUUUAUACUGCAACCAUUGAGCCCGUAUAGGUAUGGUUGUUUGAUGUGAGACGGUAGCUGUAUUUACAACAUGUCUUUAUAUACAAAUAUAAAAAUUCAUACUUGCGACCUC
rnacentral:misc_RNA from 1 species